rnacentral:lncRNA from 13 species
AUGAAUAGAAACGGUCAUGGCUGGAGAGCAGGGAUGCACGGUCCGGCUUCUGAAAGGCCUUGUCUGUCUGAUGACUCAUGCACCCUGGGCAUAUCCCAGACCAAGAGACCCCACACACCGUACCUGACUGCUCAGCUGGGAACAAGACCAGACCUCAAAAGAGGUUUGCAGGAUUCAGAUGAGAAGCCGAGCUCAACCCGGCCUCUGAGGCUGCCUGGGGCACACCUGAGCAGAGAGAAGGAGGAAGUCAGAUGGCCACGAGGGUGCCGGAGUGCGCGUUACACUGCAUUUCCAGCAAACAAUCCACGCCGCAAUGACAGCCUAGACCCCAGAGAACCUGGAGAGGCCGGGGGAGAUGGAAUUGUGGCAAGCCCGCACUGGCAGGGACCACCGGGAGCAGCUGGUCCAGCCUCCUCUUCUUCAAGAGGAUCGCCACUGAAGAACUUACUCACGCGACCAAAUACCACCCCAACAACCUACGGAGAAGGAAAAACGAAGAAGCUGGAUGUGGUGGCUCACACCUCUAAUCCUAGCACUUUGGGAGGCCAAGGUGAGCAGAUCAUGAGGUCAAGAGAUUGAGACCAUCCUGGCCAACAUGGUGAAACUCCAUCUCUUCUAAAAUACAAAAUUUAGCUGGGCGUGGUUGUGCGUGCCUGUAAUCCCAGCUGCUCAGGAGGCUGAGGCAGAAGAAUUACUUGAACCUGGGAGGUGGAAGUUGCAGUGAGCCGAGAUAGCACCAUUGCACUCCAGCCUGGCGACAGAGCAAGACUCCAUCUCAAAACAAAACAAAACAAAACCAGGUCCUACUUUCCUCAGCCAGUGGGGUGGCGUGUAGUGGGUGGGCUGCACUUGGUUCCAGAGAGGUCAAUGAGAACACCUGUGGAAGAAGCGGAGUGGUGGGGGCCAGGGAAAACCCCUGCCUUCACUCAGUGCCGGCUGUGUGCCAGGCAGCCCCCUGCUUAGUGCCCUCAGUCCUCAGAACCAUUCUGGGAGGCAGGCAUUAGCCCCCUUUUGCAGAUAAGCCUCAGGAAAGGGGAAGAACUUGACCCAGGGUCCAACUGAACAACUGGCAGAGUCAGGACCCCUACCCCGGCUGACCACACAGUGGCUGCAGUGUUCCCCUUACCCAGCGCAGCAGCUCCGCAGCUCACUUCAGCACGCGUGAAACCAGAGAUGCACAAUCACUCCCAGGCCUGCAGGCUGAUCUCACAGCACAGUGAAAAGCGAGCAGGAUGCUCCAUCGCGCGUGCUGAGCCAGAGCAGGUGGCCCUUCUCACUCGAAGGCUCUGGGACUCUUGGAGCUCUGUAGGAGCAGGGGAGACCAGCCUCAGGGGCAGCCUCCAAGGACCCUGAUAAUGACCACAAGAAAGAGGCAGCCCUCUGGGGGAGGAAAGUGCUGGGGGUCAGGGGCAAGGGAGCCACUCCAGGCUGAGCCAGGCCAGCUGUGUGAGCUGGGUGAGUCAC